rnacentral:rRNA from 1 species
AUUCCAGCUCCAAUAGUGUAUAUUAAAGUUGUUGCAGUUAAAAAGCUCGUAGUUGGAUUUCUGGCGGGAGCGAUCGGUCCUUCACUCAGUGUUGGAACCUGAUUGUCUCCUGCCAUCCAUGGAGAAAACUUAUCUGGCAUUAAGUUGUCGGGUAGGCAAUCUCCAUCUUUUACUGUGAAAAAAUUAGAGUGUUCAAAGCAGGCUUAUGCCGUUGAAUAUAUUAGCAUGGAAUAAUAAGAUAGGACUAUGGUACUAUUUUGUUGGUUUGUGCACCAUGGUAAUGAUUAAUAGGGAUAGUUGGGGGCAUUCGUAUUUAACUGUCAGAGGUGAAAUUCUUGGAUUUGUUAAAGACGGACUACUGCGGAAGCAUUUGCCAAGGAUGUUUUCAUUA